AUUGAUUUUAUGCUUGCAUAAAUGAUUUUUGGAUUCGGAGCGAGUGGCGAACUGGUGAGUAACACGUGGGUAACCUGCCCCGAAGCGGGGGAUAACAUUUGGAAACAAGUGCUAAUACCGCAUAAUUAGUUGGAACCGCAUGGUUCCAACUUGAAAGAUGGCUCUGCUAUCACUUUGGGAUGGACCCGCGCCGUAUUAGUUAGUUGGUGAGAUAAAAGCCCACCAAGACGAUGAUACGUAGCCGACCUGAGAGGGUAAUCGGCCACAUUGGGACUGAGACACGGCCCAGACUCCUACGGGAGGCAGCAGUAGGGAAUCUUCCACAAUGGACGAAAGUCUGAUGGAGCAACGCCGCGUGAGUGAUGAAGGUUUUCGGAUCGUAAAACUCUGUUGUUAAAGAAGAACAAGUGUUAGAGUAACUGUUAACACUUUGACGGUAUUUAACCAGAAAGCCACGGCUAACUACGUGCCAGCAGCCGCGGUAAUACGUAGGUGGCAAGCGUUGUCCGGAUUUAUUGGGCGUAAAGCGAGCGCAGGCGGUUUUGUAAGUCUGCUGUGAAAGCCCUCAGCUCAACUGGGGAAGUGCAGUGGAAACUACAAAACUUGAGUACAGAAGAGGAAAGUGGAACUCCAUGUGUAGCGGUGAAAUGCGUAGAUAUAUGGAAGAACACCAGUGGCGAAGGCGGCUUUCUGGUCUGUUACUGACGCUGAGGCUCGAAAGCAUGGGUAGCGAACAGGAUUAGAUACCCUGGUAGUCCAUGCCGUAAACGAUGAAUACUAGGUGUUGGAGGGUUUCCGCCCUUCAGUGCCGCAGCUAACGCAUUAAGUAUUCCGCCUGGGGAGUACGACCGCAAGGUUGAAACUCAAAGGAAUUGACGGGGGCCCGCACAAGUGGUGGAGCAUGUGGUUUAAUUCGAUGCUACGCGAAGAACCUUACCAGCUCUUGACAUCUUCUGUCAACCCAAGAGAUUGGGCGUUCCCUUCGGGGACAGAAUGACAGGUGGUGCAUGGUUGUCGUCAGCUCGUGUCGUGAGAUGUUGGGUUAAGUCCCGCAACGAGCGCAACCCUUAUUAUUAGUUGCCAGCAUUUAGUUGGGCACUCUAGUGAGACUGCCGGUGAUAAA
rnacentral:rRNA from 1 species